CUUCAGAGAGAGAGAGAGAAUGAGAUAAACAGGAAGGAAGAUGCUAGUGAUCCUUGCAGUGUCCUUCAGUUUUUGCAACUGCUUGUCAAUCAAUUUCCCUUCUGAGAAAAAAACAUAGUGGGGUUUUGAACACUGCCUGUCAUUUUCCAAACAGUUCCUGGAAUUAUUCUCUCAAAUCUGAACAACAAGCACCCACACAGCAGGAGAGAUUUUUGCGCGCACAUAUCUGGGCCUUCACUGCCACAAACACACACACACACACACAGACACACACACUCACCACAAUAGCACACUAUCACUGAUACAUCAUACAUGUUUACAAGUCUCUUUUAAAAACAAUGUGAGAUUUUCAAUACUGUUAAGACAAUAGCAGCUCUGCUAAUGCAAUUCUCAGAGCUUCUAAUCAAGGUUCUCUGUAGGAUAAUCUCUUCAAAAACUUGAUGCAUGAACCUUCAAGACUUAAUGAAUCAAACAAUUAGCAAGAUAUGAUGGUCCAAAUUUGUUCACUCAAAUGUAAUCAUUCAUUCUAUACCCUGAAGCCCAUCGGAUCAUCUCUUGGUUCUGUUCUGGUUCUGGGCCCACAGGCAAGACGAUUCAUCUGUGGAUGAUGAGAAGAGGAGGAAUUAUGGUGGAGUGUAUGUGGGCUUACCUGCAGACCUCAGCAAUGUGGCCACUGGACAAACACCCUCCACACACAAAGAAUAAUGAUAUUCAGAGCUGAAGGCACAGAUAAAGGUAAGCCCAUCUUUGCUUUCUUACACAAUUAAAUCAUUAUUUAGCAUUGUGGCUUACAAUUCUUACACAUUUGAGUGUUUAAUUUUACAUCUUUAAAAAAGCAAAGCAAACAACAUAAAUCAUAUGACAAAACAAGAGCUGCCUACAGCCUACAUAGGCAGCUAGCUUCUAAGGAAACCUAACUUUAAUAAGUGAUGCUAGGCAGCAACUCUGUGUGACAUGACUCAGUGGAUUUUGACAUUAGCAUGUCACUAAGCUAACAGUGCAACUCUCUAAAAGGCAUGAAAACACAUAGCACACACACAUUGAGUACAGUAGCCCACUAUGAAUUAUACUGAACU
ensembl:lncRNA